GAAGCCUAAGGCUAGAAGUAGGGGAGUAACAGGAAGUACAGUCUUGCAAAAAGAAAGCCUGGAAGUCUACAGAAGGUGUCAUGCGGGGCCUCUUCUGACAGCUGGUACAUGUGGGUUUGGAAAAAGAUGCCCAGCAUUGGAGGAGCCACUAACAGAGCCUGAACAACUGCCGAAACCGUAUGAGCUGGAGCAUGGAGGGAGGAAGGGCAAGGCUUUUUGUUAGACAACAGGCAGCGCUGUAUGAAGAUUGAUACGGAAGUGCUGGGCUCGGCUGGCUGGAUCAUCAAAUGGAUUGAUAUGAUACUCUGCCGGUGGAUGAAGACAAAGUAAGUGUUAUCAUACUCAAUACCGGGGCUUGUCAGGGGCGGAAAAUCACGCCAUGUCCCUGAUUAUAGGAGCGUUUCAUGACUGUCAUGCGAAUUUAGUAGCACGAUGUCACCGGCAGGCUGCUGGGCCCCAAACUCUUUAU
rnacentral:lncRNA from 1 species